rnacentral:rRNA from 1 species
UACGUAGGGUGCGAGCGUUGUCCGGAAUUAUUGGGCGUAAAGGGCUCGUAGGCGGUCUGUCGCGUCGGGAGUGAAAACUCAGGGCUUAACCCUGAGCCUGCUUCCGAUACGGGCAGACUAGAGGUAUGCAGGGGAGAUCGGAAUUCCUGGUGUAGCGGUGAAAUGCGCAGAUAUCAGGAGGAACACCGGUGGCGAAGGCGGAUCUCUGGGCCUUACCUGACGCUCAGGCGCGAAAGCUAGGGGAGCGAACAGG